rnacentral:rRNA from 1 species
UAGGGAAUCUUCCACAAUGGACGCAAGUCUGAUGGAGCAACGCCGCGUGAGUGAAGAAGGUUUUCGGACCGUAAAGCUCUGUUGUUGGUGAAGAAGGAUAGAGGUAGUAACUGGCCUUUAUUUGACGGUAAUCAACCAGAAAGUCACGGCUAACUACGUGCCAGCAGCCGCGGUAAUACGUAGGUGGCAAGCGUUGUCCGGAUUUAUUGGGCGUAAAGCGAGCGCAGGCGGAAGAAUAAGUCUGAUGUGAAAGCCCUCGGCUUAACCGAGGAAUUGCAUCGGAAACUGUUUUUCUUGAGUGCAGAAGAGGAGAGUAGAACUCCAUGUGUAGCGGUGGAAUGCGUAGAUAUAUGGAAGAAUACCAGUGGCGAAGGCGGCUCUCUGGUCUGCAACUGACGCUGAGGCUCGAAAGCAUGGGUAGCGAACAGGAUUAGAUACCCUGGUAGUCCAUGCCGUAAACGAUGAGUGCUAAGUGUUGGGAGGCUUCCGCCUCUCAGUGCUGCAGCUAACGCAUUAAGCACUCCGCCUGGGGGAGUACGACCGCAAAGGU